CCAGUUGGCCGGGCAGCCGCGCUUUACCAAUGCCGAAAGGCGGUAAGGUGAGGAAAGUCCGGGCUCCACGGAAACACGGUGCCGGAUAACGUCCGGCGAGGGCGACCUCAGGGAAAGUGCCACAGAAAGCAAACCGCCUGUCAUGACAGGUAAGGGUGAAAGGGUGGGGUAAGAGCCCACCGCAUCUCCGGCAACGGAUAUGGCACGGUAAACCCCACCGGGAGCAAGACCGAAUAGGGAUGACGCGGCGGGCUGAAAGGUUCUCCGGCCGGUUUCCAGGCCAGUCAUCCGGGUGGGUUGCGUGAGGCAGCGUGCGAGCGCUGUCCCAGAGGAAUGGCUGCCACGUUCCGGUUCACGCCGGAGCCAUACAGAACCCGGCUUACAGGCCAACUGGCAAU
rnacentral:RNase_P_RNA from 17 species